GUGGGUACAGCUCAGUGGUAGAAUGCCUGCUUAGCAUGCACGAGGUCCUGGGUUCAAGUCCCAGUGCCUCCA
rnacentral:tRNA from 1 species